GAUGAACGCUGGCGGCGUGCCUAAUACAUGCAAGUCGAGCGGUAAGGUUCUCACUCUGUAUUUAACUAGUUUGAAUAUGGUGUGAGAAUACACGAGCGGCGGACGGCUGAGUAACGCACAGGAACGUACCCCGAAGUGAGGGAUAAGCACCAGAAAUGGUGUCUAAUACCGCAUAUUCUCUUAGGAGCAAAGCUUUACGCGCUUUGGGAGCGGCCUGUGACGAUUAGCUUGUUGGUGAGGUAAAAGCUUACCAAGGCGACGAUCGUUAACUGGUCUGAGAGGAUGAUCAGUCAGACUGGAACUGAGACACGGUCCAGACUCCUACGGGAGGCAGCAGUAGGGAAUUUUCCACAAUGGGCGAAAGCCUGAUGGAGCAACGCCGCGUGC
rnacentral:rRNA from 1 species